rnacentral:rRNA from 1 species
AACGAACGCUGGCGGCAUGCCUAAUACAUGCAAGUCGAACGAGAUCUUCGGAUCUAGUGGCGCACGGGUGCGUAACGCGUGGGAAUCUGCCCUUGGGUUCGGAAUAACAUCGGGAAACUGAUGCUAAUACCGGAUGAUAUCGAAAGAUCAAAGAUUUAUCGCCCAGGGAUGAGCCCGCGUAGGAUUAGCUAGUUGGUGGGGUAAAGGCUCACCAAGGCGACGAUCCUUAGCUGGUCUGAGAGGAUGAUCAGCCACACUGGGACUGAGACACGGCCCAGACUCCUACGGGAGGCAGCAGUGGGGAAUAUUGGACAAUGGGCGAAAGCCUGAUCCAGCAAUGCCGCGUGAGUGAUGAAGGCCUUAGGGUUGUAAAGCUCUUUUACCCGGGAUGAUAAUGACAGUACCGGGAGAAUAAGCUCCGGCUAACUUCGUGCCAGCCGCCGCGGUAAUAC